UGUGGGAUAUCGUGAGACUAGCUCUUGGGGAAGCUGGAAGGAUGCUUGGUUGCCCAGCGACAGCGCUGCCUCACGGCAGCCCUUGGUUUCCCGCAGUCCCAGAUGCAUCUCAUUAAAAGGAAAGAGGGGCAGCUGGCUGACACGUUUCCUGAAGUGGCAUUUUCAAUGCCCCCCAUCUUGGUAUCUUGUUGCAUGAUAUUGUUCUGAAGCCAGGGAGGAACUACUCCUUCAGCCCAGGGCUCAAAAUGAAGAUGAAAUGGAGCAAAGAUGCAACCAUGCAAUUAUGUGCAUGCAAAAUACAUCUUGGUUGAAAGAAGGAGCUCUCUGGGAACCUGCCCUUUGCCUCUGAGGACACCACCCUUUUGCCUUUUUCUCCGAACUUUGAGUGACCCAAAGUUGAUAGCCUGGCUCCUCGGUUCCCAGAAGGAGUUACCUUAAACCAUUCUGGGGGGGAGGGGUUGGAGGGAAUAGAUGCUUCCCUCUGGAAAUCCUGACCAUGCUUGUUUAAUGGAUUCUGUACUAUUUACUGGUUUGCAUACUUGUACAGCUAGAAGGUCUUGGAGGAGCAUAAACCUCCUGCCCACCAGAUAAUUCUGUUGCUUAACAAACCAUAACAGCUCUGAUUACAUGGAGAAUACUAGCAGUAAAUGGGUUUAAAGUGAUUUUACUGUUUUCUGUUAUGGAAACUCACAUGUAGGAAUACUAUGGAACUGUUUUGAAAUUUCUUUAGCCUUCCAAAUGUAAAGUCACUAGACUUGGAUAUUUCAGCAAUUCUACAUUUGCAAUAUAGAGCUAAGGAGACUGGAGUCUGCUUGAUUGACACCUACACUGGGAAAAGCCCUCUGAAGCCACCUGUAUGAAGUAGUCAGUCAGUAGUCAUUUCUAAGCCUCCAGCAUACCCUUUUCUUUUUCUGUUCAAAAUUUGUUCCCAGACUGAGCUCCCAUUGACUGAAAUUUCACUAAGGGCUCAAGGAUUACACACCUCGGACCAGGGCUAUGCAGCUUGCGGUAUGGAGCAUGGGAAUCAAGGCAGACGCUGGCGUUCCCGAACUCAGCAAUAAAAUCAUUCUGAGAGUUCUCACGCCAGCACUCAGCUAGCUGCAACCUUCUCCCGCUUGCCUUCUAAGGAGAUUAAGACCAGACAUUUUAUUUUGUUUCCGUUUUAGUUUAUUUGAAGGUUUUAUGAUGUCUUAGUUGAGUAGCUCAUGGGACUUCCAAAUAAACAUGCUGCUUUUAAAAAUGGCAACUUGUUUUUAUUUAUUUCUUUUAGGUGCCCAGUGACCUCUGGAUAUAUUAGGCAGCUUUAAAUUAUAAUUAAAACAAUAACUGUGGUCCUAAAACAAUAAUAGAUGUUGAAUUAUACAAACGCCAAAUUAGGAUGUCCAGAAAACGGUUUGAAGGAAAGCAGAGCAAGAGAAAUGAAAGGAAACCUGCUUGUCAUCUGAGAAAAUCCCUUUAUUUCAAUGAUUUCAUGAACAUUUCUCAAGUCCAUGGACACAGAUAGAAGCUGCCAUGCCAAAUCCGCAGACUGCUCUGAGCCCCUCUAACACACACACAUCUGCAUCCCUCCAUCUGUCAUCUUAGCUCAUCUUCCUCUCACAACUGUUCUUAAAUUAAAUGACUACAUCUAAUGGGAGAUUUUCUCGGGAAAGCUUAUGAGAAUUUGUCCAAAGGCAAAUUAAAACAUUGCAAUGUAAUCAUCAUACUCAACUCACUGCUUGGCUGGUCUCAGUGCCAACUCUUACCCAAAGGAGUUCAUCAACCUUAGGGCCCCAGAUGGAGAAAAGCAACCAGGGAGAAACCCAGAAGAGAGAAAAUGGAACCCACUGGCUGGUAGUCAGAGUGUCGGCGAUGAAGGGUGCUGCAGAGUGGGCUGUAGGCGGUGCAAUGCAUCCGAAAGCCAGGGCAAGAAGAAUAGGA